rnacentral:rRNA from 1 species
CGAAGGGUGCAAGCGUUACUCGGAAUUACUGGGCGUAAAGCGUGCGUAGGCGGUUCGUUAAGUCUGUCGUGAAAGCCCUGGGCUCAACCUGGGAAUUGCGAUGGAUACUGGCGAGCUAGAGUACGGUAGAGGAUGGUGGAAUUCCCGGUGUAGCGGUGAAAUGCGUAGAGAUCGGGAGGAACACCCGUGGCGAAGGCGGCCAUCUGGACCAGUACUGACGCUGAGGCACGAAAGCGUGGGGAGCAAACAGGAUUAGAUACCCUGGUAGUCCACGCCCUAAACGAUGCGAACUGGAUGUUGGGCACACUUAGGUGCUCAGUGUCGAAGCUAACGCGUUAAGUUCGCCGCCUGGGGAGUACGGUCGCAAGACUG